rnacentral:rRNA from 1 species
GAUGAACGCUAGCGGCAGGCUUACACAUGCAAGUCGAGGGGCAGACACGAUUGAGCUUGCUUAAUUGGUGGCGACCGGCGCACGGGUGCGUAACGCGUAUGCAACCUACCUCAUACUGGGGUAUAGCCCGAAGAAAUUCGGAUUAACCCCCCAUAGUAUUAUCGAAUGGCAUCAUUUAAUAAUUAAAGGUUACGGUAUGAGAUGGGCAUGCGUCCCAUUAGCUAGAUGGUGAGGUAACGGCUCACCAUGGCAACGAUGGGUAGGGGGCCUGAGAGGGUGGUCCCCCACACUGGUACUGAGACACGGACCAGACUCCUACGGGAGGCAGCAGUGAGGAAUAUUGGUCAAUGGGCGCAAGCCUGAACCAGCCAUGCCGCGUGCAGGAAGACGGUCCUAUGGAUUGUAAACUGCUUUUAUUAGGGAAUAAACCUAUCUACGUGUAGAUAGCUGAAGGUACCUAAUGAAUAAGCACCGGCUAACUCCGUGCCAGCAGCCGCGGUAAUACGGAGGGUGCAAGCGUUAUCCGGAAUCAUUGGGUUUAAAGGGUCCGCAGGCGGAUGUAUAAGUCAGUGGUGAAAGCCCGUCGCUCAACGACGGAACUGCCAUUGAUACUGUACGUCUUGAAUUCGAUCGAAGUGGGCGGAAUAUGACAUGUAGCGGUGAAAUGCUUAGAUAUGUCAUAGAACACCGAUAGCGAAGGCAGCUCACUAGGUCUGGAUUGA